GAUGAACGCGUGGCGGCGUGCCUAACACAUGCAAGUCGAACGAAGCGACCUUGAUUUCGUUCGGAUUGAUUGGUGACUGAGUGGCGGACGGGUGAGUAACGCGUGGGUAACCUGCCUCAUACAGGGGGAUAACAGUUAGAAAUGGCUGCUAAUACCGCAUAAGCGCACAGUAUCGCAUGAUGCAGUGUGAAAAACUCCGGUGGUAUGAGAUGGACCCGCGUCUGAUUAGCUAGUUGGUAAGGUAACGGCUUACCAAGGCGAUGAUGCAUAGCCGAGUUGAGAGACUGAUCGGCCACAAUGGAACUGAGACACGGUCCAU
rnacentral:rRNA from 1 species